UAUGGAGGGUGCAAGCGUUAUCCGGAUUCACUGGGUUUAAAGGGUGCGUAGGAGGGCAGGUAAGUCAGUGGUGAAAUCUCCGAGCUUAACUUGGAACUGCCGUUGAUACUAUCUGCCUUGAAUAUUGUGGAGGUGAGCGGAAUAUGUCAUGUAGCGGUGAAAUGCUUAGAUAUGACAUAGAACACCAAUUGCGAAGGCAGCUCGCUACACAUAUAUUGACUCUGAGGCACGAAAGCGUGGGGAGCGAACAGG
rnacentral:rRNA from 1 species